rnacentral:rRNA from 1 species
UACGGAGGGUGCAAGCGUUGCUCGGAAUUAUUGGGCGUAAAGGGUAGGUAGGUGGUCUCAUUUGUCUGGGGUGAAAGCCUUGAGCUUAACUCAAGAAGUGCCCCAGAAACGGUGAGACUGGAGUCCUGGAGAGGGUCGUGGAAUUCCCGGUGUAGCGGUGAAAUGCGCAGAUAUCGGGAGGAACACCGGUGGCGAAGGCGGCUCUCUGGGACGGUACUGACGCUGAGACGCGAAAGCGUGGGGAGCGAACAGG